rnacentral:tRNA from 1 species
GGGACCGUGGUGUAGGGUUAAGCGUAGUUGCCUCUCACCCAGUCGGCUUGGGUUCAAUUCCAGACGGUCCCG